rnacentral:rRNA from 1 species
CCUACGGGAGGCUGCAGUGAGGAAUAUUGAUCAAUGGGCGCAAGCCUGAACCAGCCAAGUCGCGUGAGGGAAGACGGCCCUACGGGUUGUAAACCUCUUUUGCCGGGGAGCAAGCCUGAGCACGUGUGCCCAGGCGGAGAGUACCCGGAGAAAAAGCAUCGGCUAACUCCGUGCCAGCAGCCGCGGUAAUCCGGAGGGUGAGAGCGUUAUCCGGAUUUAUGGGGGUGAAAGGGCGCGCAGGCGGGCUGUUGAGCCGGCGGUAAACAUUCAGGGCUAAACCCUGUCGAGCCGUCGGAACUGGCAGGCUUGAGUGGGCGAGAAGUAUGCGGAAUGCGUGGUGUAGCGGUGAAAUGCAUAGAUAUCAGGAAGAACGCCGAUUGCGAAGGCAGCAUACCGGCGCCCAACUGACGCUGAGGCACGAAAGCGUGGGGAUCGAACAGGAUUAGAUACCCGAGUAGUC